UUCAGUUGUGGCAUCGGUUCAGUUCAGUUCUGGGAACAGUCAGAAACUAGAAGUGCACUGUUCCAGAGUACCUCUGCCUUUGUGUGUCCUGAGUUUACCAGGCAGGUUGCUUGGAGCAAAAAGAUGGUCUUACCUCUACUCUUCGGUGUUUAGGCAAUCUUGGGAACAGGCAGAAACCUGAAGGGUCCUGCCCCUGACUGCUUCUAGGUCCCUUUGCCCGGAGGUCACUGAUGGCACUAGGUGAUUUCCUCUUGGGUCAGGAAUGUGGGCAGAAAGUGGUUGUCUCCUCUGAGUUCUCAGGAGUGUCUACACUCUGAGGGCCCACUUUCGCCCCCACAGGAUUUGGGUUCAGGGAUCUGUGGGACAUGUUCAGUUUUCUAGUGUCCAAUAUUACUAGUCAACUUUCAGCCUCUGUUAUGCUUUUGUAACCUCUCCCAUUCCCAGAAUUCCAAGAGGCAACUGACACUAAAGGUCAUAGUAUGAAGCAGUUCUAGAGAAUAAUAAUUCGAAAAGAGUUAGUUGACUAGCCAUAUGCU
rnacentral:lncRNA from 1 species